rnacentral:rRNA from 1 species
GAUGAACGCUGGCGGCGUGCCUAAUACAUGCAAGUCGAGCGAACGGACGAGAAGCUUGCUUCUCUGAUGUUAGCGGCGGACGGGUGAGUAACACGUGGAUAACCUACCUAUAAGACUGGGAUAACUUCGUGAAACCGGAGCUAAUACCGGAUAAUAUUUUGAACCGCAUGGUUCAAAAGUGAAAGACGGUCUUGCUGUCACUUAUAGAUGGAUCCGCGCUGCAUUAGCUAGUUGGUAAGGUAACGGCUUACCAAGGCAACGAUGCAUAGCCGACCUGAGAGGGUGAUCGGCCACACUGGAACUGAGACACGGUCCAGACUCCUACGGGAGGCAGCAGUAGGGAAUCUUCAGCAAUGGGCGAAAGCCUGACGGAGCAACGCCGCGUGAGUGAUGAAGGUCUUCGGAUCGUAAAACUCUGUUAUUAGGGAAGAACAUAUGUGGAAGUAACUGUGCACAUCUUGACGGUACCUAAUCAGAAAGCCACGGCUAACUACGUG